UGCGGACAAGGGCUCUGACUUCAUUGCACUACUGUACUUCCCAACUAGCAGUGCAAUAGUAUUGUCAAAGCACUUGCAAGCAGA
rnacentral:pre_miRNA from 11 species